GGCUACCUGGCGCAAUGGUAGCGCGUUUGGCUUCGAUCGCCGACGGCACCAGUCAGUCACGUGACACCAAAAGGUUGCAGGUUCGAGUCCUGCGGUGGUCA